rnacentral:rRNA from 1 species
UACGGGGGGAGCAAGCGUUGUUCGGAUUUACUGGGCGUAAAGGGCGCGUAGGCGGCGCAACAAGUCACUUGUGAAAUCUCCGGGCUUAACCCGGAGCGGCCAAGUGAUACUGUCGUGCUAGAGUGCGGAAGGGGCUACUGGAAUUCUCGGUGUAGCGGUGAAAUGCGUAGAUAUCGGGAGGAACACCAGUGGCGAAGGCGACUUCCUGGCCUGUUCUUGACGCUGAUGCGCGAAAGCGUGGGUAGCAAACAGG